GAUGAACGCUGGCGGCGUGCCUAACACAUGCAAGUCGAGCGCGACUGAUUUGAUGCUUGCAUCAUUGAAAGUUGAGCGGCGGACGGGUGAGUAACGCGUGGGUAACCUGCCCUAUACACAUGGAUAACAUACUGAAAAGUUUACUAAUACAUGAUAAUGUAUAUUUACGGCAUCGUAGAUAUAUCAAAGUGUUAGCGGUAUAGGAUGGACCCGCGUCUGAUUAGCUAGUUGGUGAGAUAACUGCCCACCAAGGCGACGAUCAGUAGCCGACCUGAGAGGGUGAUCGGCCACAUUGGAACUGAGACACGGUCCAAA
rnacentral:rRNA from 1 species